GGGGAAUCUUGCGCAAUGGGCGAAAGCCUGACGCAGCGACGCCGCGUGGGGGAAGAAGGCUUUCGGGUUGUAAACCCCUUUCAGGAAGGACGAAGCCACUCGGGUGAAUAGCCCAGAGGGUGACGGUACUUCCAGAAGAAGCCCCGGCUAACUCCGUGCCAGCAGCCGCGGUAAUACGGAGGGUGCAAGCGUUAUCCGGAUUCACUGGGUUUAAAGGGUGCGUAGGUGGGAAUGUAAGUCAGUGGUGAAAUCUCCGUGCUUAACAUGGAAACUGCCAUUGAUACUAUGUUUCUUGAAUUUUCUGGAGGUAAGCGGAAUAUGUCAUGUAGCGGUGAAAUGCUUAGAUAUGACAUAGAACACCAAUUGCGAAGGCAGCUUGCUACAGGGAUAUUGACACUGAGGCACGAAAGCGUGGGGAUCAAAC
rnacentral:rRNA from 1 species